rnacentral:rRNA from 1 species
UUGGAGGGCAAGUCUGGUGCCAGCAGCCGCGGUAAUUCCAGCUCCAAUAGCGUAUAUUAAAGUUGUUGCAGUUAAAAAGCUCGUAGUUGAAUUUCGAGAUCAAUUUGUUGGUCGUGCCUCGGUACGUACUGGCAAUUUUGAUUUCUCCCUUCUGAAGAACCAUUAUGUCAUUAAUUUGGUGUCAUGGGGAAUCAGGACUGUUACUUUGAAAAAAUUAGAGUGUUUAAAGCAGGC